CAGUGGUGAAAUAUUCGGGCUCAACCGGGAUACUGCCAUUGAUACUGUAUAGCUGGAAUAUGGUUGCUGUGGGUGGAAUGUGUGGUGUAGCGGUGAAAUGCAUAGAUAUCACACAGAAUAUCGAUUGCGAAGGCAACUCACAAAGCCAUUAUUGACGCUGAUGCACGAAAGUGUGGGGAUCAAACAGGAUUAGAUACCCUGGUAGUCCACACUGUAAACGAUGAUAACUAGCUGUCGGCGAUAGAUAGUCGGUGGCUAAGCGAAAGCGAUAAGUUAUCCACCUGGGGAGUACGACCGCAAGGUUGAAACUCAAAGGAAUUGACGGGGGCCCGCACAAGCGGAGGAACAUGUGGUUUAAUUCGAUGAUACGCGAGGAACCUUACCCGGGCUCGAACGGUGCAGGAAUAUGGUAGAGAUAUCAUAGCUAGCAAUAGUCUGUAUCGAGGUGCUGCAUGGUUGUCGUCAGCUCGUGCCGUGAGGUGUCGGCUUAAGUGCCAUAACGAGCGCAACCCUUGUCGUUAGUUACCAUCAAGUAAAGUUGGGGACUCUAGCGAGACUGCCACCGUAAGGUGUGAGGAAGGGGGGGAUGACGUCAAAUCAGCACGGCCCUUACGUCCGGGGCGACACACGUGUUACAAUGGUAGGUACAGAGGGGCGCUAUCCAGUGAUGGAGUGCGAAUCUCAAAAACCUAUCUCAGUUCGGAUUGGAGUCUGCAACUCGACUCCAUGAAGUUGGAUUCGCUAGUAAUCGCGCAUCAGCCAUGGCGCGGUGAAUACGUUCCCGGGCCUUGUACACACCGCCCGUCAAGCCAUGGAAGCCGGGGGUGCCUGAAGUUCGCGACCGCAAGGAGCGACCUAGGGCAAAACUGGUAACUGGGGCUAAGUCGUAACAAGGUAACC
rnacentral:rRNA from 1 species